AAGGCACUGUAUGUUGAACUAGAUGCGAAAUGCCAGAGUCAGCGGUGUUAGUAAACAGCCGCCAUCUUAAAGCAAUACACUUCACAGCGCUAAUAAAUAAGAUUGUUACUCGCUCACGUAACGUUAGCCCUGCGCGUGGCUAACGUGUCUUACAUACAGGUUUUAUUUAAUCUGUGAAAACAUAGCGUUGUAGAGUGAUGAGGAUGUAAAAUGAAAAUAUGAUAAAGCUAACUGUCAAUUUUAGUUCAGUAGUCAUUGCUGGAUAAAACACCCAGUUGCACUGGUCCCUAAUGUGCUCCAAUACAGCAGGUAUCAUACUGUAACGUUGACAAAGAGUCACCCGCUUCGUUAGGUUGCAAUUAUUUAUUUUUUGAGAUCUUGUGAAACGACAACAACAACAGAAAGGCACGUCUCUCGCUCUCCCGCACCUCCCUCACCCCCGCACGUCACGCGGUGCAUUCAGGAAAGCAUGCAAAUAUCCCCGCCAUAUUAUAACCUGAUAUGUUACAAUACAUUUAUUUUGAACACAGCAAAAACUCAAAAUCCUAUCAGGACUUACAGUUUAGACUAACUUAAAACUUAACUAGAACUUAAAAAUGGCUUGACACAAAUAGAAAUUCAAUUGAAACAGGUGGGAAAAAAUCCUAACUUUUAAGUGAUGUGUGUUAUCAAGCGUAAUGGCAUUUUUAGGUAAGAAAUAUAUAUAUAUGUGUACACAUAUAUAUGUAUAUAUAUAUUUUUUUUUUUAUAAGAUCUAAAAGUUUUUCGAGUGAAAGCAGUGAAUUGGUCUUUUUUUUAUUCUAGUCACAUCUGAGGCAAUUGUGGGCUGUUUUCAACAACGUACAUUGAAAAUAAAGACAUUGAUUGACUGAAAAUGGUUCAAUAUUAGAUGAAUUGUCUUGUUUUCUCAUGUAUAUUUAUAAUUGCUUUUUACCUAAAAAGAAAUGUUUUAUCCGAUUACUCGAUUAAUCAAUACGAUUUUCAGUCGAUUACUAAAAUAUUCGAUAGCUGCAGCUCUAGUCCAAUCUCAUGCCGCAACGAUUAAUUAACUCGAGUAAUUCGAUUACAAAAAAAGCUUCAAAUCAGAUUUUCAAGGAUUCGUUUUAAUUAGAGUGGCGUUGUAAUGGUUUGUUUUGAAAGUGUUUGCAUUUAGUUUUACUGAUUUGGGUGGAUACACUGCCUUCUAGUGGCAACAGUUGAUGAAUACAUUGAUUCUGAAAUAAUCGAUAGUUGCAGCUCUAGACCAAUCCAUUGAAGGUGGGAGCAAAUGAACAAACGUGAAAUUAGCACUGAUGCUAAAUCCCGUUAGCCUCUCUUUAGUGUUUUACAUAAUAUAUUAGCAUUAAGCACACAAGACUUUUAGACAAAACUACGAGGUUUGGUUGAACAUUUUGUUGUCUUCAAAUAUACAGAAUGUAGUUUUCUUGAACUAAAUGAUAAAACGUAAUAUUUUCGAGUGGCUUCCAACCGUUAGCUAUAAACAAAGUCUGUUACGUAAAGAAAUCCCACGACUAAUACAAAAGCCGUCAUAAUCUGUGACACAAUGUUUGUACUUUUGGAAUUUGUGCCUUUUUCCUCGCCAACUCAAUAUUCAUAUCACAAAAAGCUUAGCAUUUAAACCAGGGUGUGUAGACUUUUAUCCUCACUAUGUGUACACAGCGCGAGUACGUUAGCGCAACAUUCCACAGCUGAUUGCGUCUUUGCUCUCAAAAAGUGCCGAGUAAGCCACAAAAGAGUAAACGAGAAGCACGCAGUCGUAAUCUAAUUAUUCGACCUCAUCAGAAAUUCCCGUCAGUGAGGUUUUUUUUUGUCCCCUCCCCCGUUGCGCCUGUCGUGACUAGCUUAAACAGGCGUCGUAAUAAUGUAAAGAAACACAGCUGCAGACUGCGGGAUUCUCGACAGACAUUUUAUGUGGAUGAAUGUAUGUAUGUGGUUUUUGCUCGUUAAAAAAACUGGAAAAACAAACCCAAUAACCUACGUUGUAUAAGGAACAUAAUGUACAGAAUGUACUCUGCGCACGCUAGCCGCGAUUUAUGAAUGUGAUGAUUGGACGAAUAUGGCCAUCAGCAUUUUAACAAUUUUUACUAAUGCAACGAUUAAUCGAUUAACUCGAGAAAAAAGCUUUGAAUCAAAUUUUGCUGCUGCAAGAAUUUGUUCAAUUCGAGUGGCGUUGUAAUGGUUUGUUUUGAAAGUGUUGGCAUUGUUUUAUUGAUUUAGGUGGAUAAACUGCCCUCUAGUAGCAACAGUGAUUGUGACAUUUUUAUGGUAAUAUGUGUUUGAACGAUUUGUUAAGAGCUUUGUAAAAAAAAUAUAUAUAUAUAUAUAUUUUUUAAAAAGCGCGACCAUUUUAUAGCAUUUAUUAGUUAAUUGUUAAGUUAGUUAAUUGUUCUUUCAUUGUACUUAGUUCAGAAUUUUUUCUAUACCGUCGUGGUAAUAUGUGUUUGAACUAUUUGUAAAGAGCUUUGUAAAAAAAAAAAAAAAAAGUUAGGAUUUUAUAGCAUUUAAGCUAGCAGAGUUGUGCUUUGCAAGUUAGCAUAUUGUUCUUGUGUUGUACUGAAAUCAGAAUUUAUUUAUUUUUAUACCGUUGUGGUAAUGUGUUUGAACAAUUUGAUAAGAGCUUUGUUAAAAAAAAAAGUUUUUUUUUAAAAAGCGCGACGAUUUUAUAGCAUUUAUUAGUUAAUUGUUAAGUUAGUUAAUUGUUCUUUCAUUGUACUUAGUUCAGAAUUUUUUUUUAUACCGUCGUGGUAAUAUGUGUUUGAACUAUUUGUAAAGAGCUUUGUAAAAAAAAAAAAAAAAAAAAAGUUAGGAUUUUAUAGCAUUUAAGCUAGCAGAGUUGUGCUUUGCAAGUUAGCCAAUUGUUCUUGUGUUGUACUGAAAUCAGUAUUUAUUUUUAUACCGUUGUGGUAAUGUGUUUGAACAAUUUGUUAAGAGCUUUGUAGAAAAAAAAAAAAAGCGCGACGAUUUUAUAGCAUUUAUUAGUUAAUUGUUAAGUUAGUUAAUUGUUCUUUCAUUGUACUUAGUUCAGAAUUUUUUUUUUAUACCGUCGUGGUAAUAUGUGUUUGAAAUAUUUGUAAAGAGCUUUGUAAAAAAAAAAAAAAAAAAAAAAAAAAAAAAAAAAGUUAGGAUUUUAUAGCAUUUAAGCUAGCAGAGUUGUGCUUUGCAAGUUAGCCAAUUGUUCUUGUGUUGUACUGAAAUCAGAAUUUAUUUAUUUUUAUACCGUUGUGGUAAUGUGUUUGAACAAUUUGUUAAGAGCUUUGUAGAGAAAAAAAAAAAAGUUUUAUAUAUUUAUUUACAUUUAUAGCAUUUACGCUAGCCGACUUCUGCUUUGCAAGUUAGCCAGUUGUUCUUUCGUUGUACUUAGAUCAGCAUUUAUUUUUUUACCGUUGUGAUAAUGUGUUUGAAUGAUUUGUUAAGAACAAUGGAAAAAUAAAAUAAAAGAAUUAAGCAUUUAAGCUAGCGAAUUUUUGCCAAGCAAGGUAGCCAAUUGUUCUUCUGUUGUACUUAGAUCAGCAUUUAUUUAUUUUUUUAUACCGUUGUGGUAAUAUGUGUUUGAACGAUUUGUAAAGAGCUUUGUUUUAAAAAAAAAAAAAAAAAGUUUGCAUUUUAUAGCAUUUAAGGUAGCGGAGUUGUGCUUUAGAAGUUAGCCAAUUGUUCUUUUGUUGUACUUAGAUCAGCUUUUCAGUAGUAUUUAUUUUAUAUACCGUUGUGGUAAUACGUGUGAACGAUUUGUCAAGAGCUUUGUAAAAAAAAAAAAAAAAAAACAUUAGCAUUUUAUAGCAUUUAAGCUAGCGGACUUUUGCGAAGCAAGUUGGCCAAUUGUUGUUUUGUUGUACUUAGAUUUUUUUUAUGCAGUUGUGGUAAUAUGUGUUAGGACGAUUUGUUAAAAGCUUUGUAUAAAAAAAAAAUAAAAAUAAAAAAAAAGACAAAAACAGUUGGCAUUUUAUAACAUUUAAGCUAGCGGUCUUUUGCUAUGCAAGUUAGCCAAUUGUUCUUUUGUUGUACUUAAAUCAGCAUUUAUUUAUUUUUAUAUCAUUGUGGUAAUAUGUUUGAAUAAUUUGUUGAGAGAUUUGUAAGAAUAAAGAAUUUUAUAGCAUUUAAGCUAGCGGAUUUUUGCUAAGCAAGUUAACCAAUUGUUAUUUUGUUGUACUUAGAUCAGCAUUUAUUUUGGUUUUUAUACUGUUGUGGUAAUGUGUGUUUGAACGAUUCGUUAAGAGCUUUGUACAAAAAAAAAAAACCUUAGCAUUUUAUAGCCUUUAAGCUAGCAGAGUUGUGCUUGCAAGUUAGCCAAUUGUUCUUUUGUUAUUUUUUAUACUGUUGUGGUAAUAUGUGUGAACAAUUUGUUAAGAGCACUGUAAAAAAAAAAAAAAAAAAAAAAAAAGUUAGCAUUUUAUAGCAUUUAAGCUAGCGGACGAUCGCUAAGCAAGUUAGCCAAUCGUUCUUUUAUUGUACUUGUAUCGGCAUUUAUUUCAUUUUUUUAAUACCGUUUGAGGCUAAGCUAAUGUAUUUUAAUUUAGUUUUAAAUGCAUUUAUUGCUCUCGUGAAAUGAAAGUGCAAUUCUGCACAGUUUGAAGAAACACUCAGUAAUGUUUGUAAUUCAAUUAUUCGAACUAACUCAUCUAUAUAUUACUCAAUUACUUAAAUAAUGGAUAGUUAGUAUGUUAGUUUGUAUUUGCAAAAAAUAAAAAUGCCCCUACCUGGACCCGGUGCUGUUUUUUCGGUGUCAUGGCAGGUCAUCUUGGUUUUGCUGUCAGAGUCCAUCUGCGAGAGCCGAGCAGCAAACCUGCCAAAUUUUGAAGCAAAAAAACAACUUUGUUGCAAAGACUAGAAAAUAAUCAUUAUGAUCAAUGUGUCAAGGCCUAAUCUUUGUCUUCCACUCAAAAGUUGUGCUGACCUCAAAUCUACACCCGUCUGUAAGUUUGUUACAACAGUCAAGCUAGGAACACUUACUCAUUGAAAAAUAUACUAGAAGAAGACCAAUUUCUUGCUUAUACGCCAAAUUACUGACAACAGAUAAGCUCGUUUUUGACCUACGACGCAAUAUAUGUUCCUGUUCCCUGGAAUUUGCAGAUUUUCACCAGAAAUGGGUAGAGGAGCCAAAAGAAUUUACUCAAGUAAGAGUACUGUUACUUCUAAAUAAUAUUACUUAAGUACAAGUAAAGUAUUCGCUGAAAAGAAUACUCAAGUAAUGAGUAACAUUGUGACUAACUGCUUACAAGUUCUAUUGUAAAUAUUUUUUCCCCCAGCACAACUUAAUCUUAAUGAACUGUUAUUACACUGUACUAUAACCUAUUACAUGACCAUACUAGGCCAAAAAGAUACACAAAAAUCAUCAAAUUCAGACUAGAACAACACUACAAAACAUCACCUGUCCAAAGAGCAUGAGUGCCCUCUAGUGGGGAAAUAAGUUACCUCUCAUUAGUAUAAUGGAGUCAUGUGGUUAUUGUUGUGACGUCUCAUUGGCAAAACUGAGACGGCCACUGUCGGCAUCUUUGGCAAUAAUAAAGUCAAUAUGGAGAAUAAAGAUUAUAAAUUAGGGCUGUCAAAAUUAUCGCGUUAACGCGCAGUAAUUAAUUUUUUAAAAUUAAUCACGUUAAAAUAUUUGACGCAAUUAACGCACAUGUCCCGCUCAGACAGUAUUCUGCCUUUUGGUAAGUUUUGCAGCAAGGCGUUUUGUGCUGCAGCACAACAGCGAACUCUUGUGGUCGCUUUGCGACAUGUUUUUUUUUUUUCUUCUUGCCAGUUCAUAUGGCUGCACGACGUCUCGGGCUGAAGCCUACGUUGUAAUGUUGUGCUUAUAUGAUCCUUGGACAAGAUUUGUCCAAGCAGCAGGGCUUCACCCGACAUUUUAUACUGGUUAACGGGGCGGUACCGACUGUCUCGCCAGCUGGACUUCAACCGGAGCCCCCGGGCGGCAGUGACUCACGCCUAUCCUCUCCAACGACGAGUGUGUACAAGUUGCAUUCGACGCUACUAAUGUGCUUAUGGGUGAAACAUUAGCACAUCUUCAUCCUUUGGGUUCCUCAACUCCCCUAAAGCGAAAAAACGGGCAAUCAGAUGACCCACCGGCAAAGCAAGCGGUUGUUGGGUCUGCUUCUUUUCAAGAAUCGCAAACAGAUUCCAUUAGUGCAGAUUGUAAGGAAAACUCCUCAUCAGAAUUUGACAGCAGCGACAGCGAGCGCUUAUGUGAAAGAACUGAUGGACAUCCUUUUUAAUGAAGUUGUCGACGACUCGGCACCGUUUGUUGCCGAGCUGAAAGCAGGAUGAGCGACCGCAGAAGGCAGACGCUGUUGCGAGGCACAAAGUAGGUGUAAAAAAGAGUUAAAGGCAAGUGCCAACUUUUGAAAAGCCUUAUUACAGAUACUCCAUUUUUUGAAAUUCGGAGUUGGCAACCAAUAUCCUUUAAUUAAUUUUGACUUUCUCCCUUUAAGAAAGUUGGAAAAUGAAAUGGACUCUUGCGUGGUUACAAGAGUACUGUAGUAUUUCUGAUAAUUGAAAUUGUAUAACUGCCGCUGCUGCUACUGCAGCUUGAGAUUAGCAAUUACCUUUUCCUAACCUUUUGAUCUGUGCUCGCCCUAUCGUUCCGUUAACACAUACGCCAGUGUUGUGUAAGGCCACUGAAAGGUAGCUUGAGGCCAUUGGAUGAAUCGUGUCGCAUUAUAAUGUGAUGUUUCACAUUUAAAUGUGAGAAGAACGCUAAAAGAGGAGCAGUUUUAGGAAAAAAACAUUUUUUGAAGGAUAAAAAUUCAUGACUGCAGUCUAAUUUUUUUUAGGGGAAAAUGUUAAGCCAUUUUGUUGGCAUCGUUGUUGUCUUUUCCCAGUUUAAAAAAACAAACUCAAAUACAUGGUUGUUUUCGAAAGAGAAAAAAACGCCAUACUAUACAUGGUCAUUUUUAUGUUUUGAUUUUUUUUUUAGGAUUAAAAAGGCCUUACUAUACAUGGUCGUUUUUUUGAGGGGGGGGAUAGAUAAAUAAAAACUUGCUAUACAUGAUUAUUUUUUAAGAAAAAAGCCUUUCUAUACAUGGUCGUUUUUUGGGGAAAAAUAAAUAAAGCCUUGCUAUA